rnacentral:rRNA from 1 species
GUACACUCCUGCGGGAGGCAGCAGUAGGGAAUCUUCCACAAUGGGUGCAAACCUGAUGGAGCAAUGCCGCGUGAGUGAAGAAGGUCUUCGGAUCGUAAAGCUCUGUUGUUAGAGAAGAACACGUGCUAGGUAACUACUAGCGCCUUGACGGUAUCUAACCAGAAAGUCACGGCUAACUACGUGCCAGCAGCCGCGGUAAUACGUAGGUGACAAGCGUUGUCCGGAUUUAUUGGGCGUAAAGGGAGCGCAGGCGGUCUGUUUAGUCUAAUGUGAAAGCCCACGGCUUAACCGUGGAACGGCAUUGGAAACUGACAGACUUGAAUGUAGAAGAGGAAAAUGGAAUUCCAAGUGUAGCGGUGGAAUGCGUAGAUAUUUGGAGGAACACCAGUGGCGAAGGCGAUUUUCUGGUCUAACAUUGACGCUGAGGCUCGAAAGCGUGGGGAGCGAACAGGAUUAGAUACCCGAGUAGUCCCAUGAU